GCGUUCUUAGUUCAAUUGGUAGAACUUAGGUCUCCAAAACCUACUGUUGAGGGUUCAAGUCCUUCAGAGCGCG
rnacentral:tRNA from 1 species